UACGGAGGAUGCGUGCGUUAUCCGGAUUUAUUGGGUUUAAAGGGUGCGUAGGCGGGAUGCCAAGUCAGCGGUAAAAAUGCGGUGCUCAACGCCGUCGAGCCGUUGAAACUGGCGUUCUUGAGUGGGCGAGAAGUAUGCGGAAUGCGUGGUGUAGCGGUGAAAUGCAUAGAUAUCACGCAGAACUCCGAUUGCGAAGGCAGCAUACCGGCGCCCUACUGACGCUGAGGCACGAAAGCGUGGGUAUCGAACAGG
rnacentral:rRNA from 1 species